GGAGGAGGAGGUGAGGGUGAUGGCGGUGGUGGUGAUUUAUAAUAGUAUGGAGGAGGUGGAGAUUUCUUUGGGGGAGGAGGAGAUGUAUAGUGGUAUGGAGGUGGUGGUGAGGGGGAAGGUGGUGGUGGAGACUUGUAGUAAUAUGAAGGAGAUGGAGACUUCUUUGGUGGAGGAGGUGAUGUGUAAUGAUAUGGAGGUGGCGGCGAUGGAGAUGGUGGAGGUGGAGACUUAUAGUAGUAUGGAGGAGGUGGUGACUUCUUAGGAGGUGGUGGUGAAGUAUAGUGGUAUGGAGGCGGCGGUGAUGGUGAUGGUGGAGGCGGAGACUUAUAGUAGUAUGGAGGAGGGGGAGAUUUCUUUAGAGGAGGAGGUGAAGUAUAGUGGUAAGGAGGUGGUGGUGAAGGAGAUGGUGGAGGUGGAGACUUGUAGUAGUAUGGUGGAUGUUCUACAUGCUUUGGUGGGGGUGGAGACUUAUAUUUAUAAGGUGGAUGCCUCACAUACUUUGGUGGAGGUGGUGACUUGUAGUAAUAUGGUGGGUGUUGGACAUAUUUUGGUGGAGGUGGAGACUUGUAGUGAUACGGCGGAUGCUCUACAUGUUUUGGUGGAGGCGGAGACUUGUAUUGGUAAGGAGGAUGUUGCACAUGUUUUGGGGGUGAUGUAUAGUAAUGUUUAGGAUGGUAAGGUGGCGGAGGAGAGGCAUAAAUAUA
rnacentral:lncRNA from 1 species